CUCUGUUUAUACACUAUAUAAAUCCAUAGAUAGAAGCAGGGCUCGCUCUGUUUAUACACUAUAUAAAUCCAUAGAUGGAUAGAAGCAGGGCUCGCUCUCCCCAUGCCUCCCUUUACUCUAUAUGACUGUUGUCCAAUAAAGGGGGACCUAGCACAGGUCCCUGAUGCCCCCAUGGUGGGGCACCUAUUAUAUUUAACAAGACGGAG